ACUUAAAUUGAAGAGUUUGAUCAUGGCUCAGAUUGAACGCUGGCGGCAGGCCUAACACAUGCAAGUCGAGCGGUAGCACAGAGAGCUUGCUCUCGGGUGACGAGCGGCGGACGGGUGAGUAAUGUCUGGGAAACUGCCUGAUGGAGGGGGAUAACUACUGGAAACGGUAGCUAAUACCGCAUAACGUCGCAAGACCAAAGUGGGGGACCUUCGGGCCUCAUGCCAUCAGAUGUGCCCAGAUGGGAUUAGCUAGUAGGUGGGGUAACGGCUCACCUAGGCGACGAUCCCUAGCUGGUCUGAGAGGAUGACCAGCCACACUGGAACUGAGACACGGUCCAGACUCCUACGGGAGGCAGCAGUGGGGAAUAUUGCACAAUGGGCGCAAGCCUGAUGCAGCCAUGCCGCGUGUGUGAAGAAGGCCUUCGGGUUGUAAAGCACUUUCAGCGGGGAGGAAGGCGAUAAGGUUAAUAACCUUGUCGAUUGACGUUACCCGCAGAAGAAGCACCGGCUAACUCCGUGCCAGCAGCCGCGGUAAUACGGAGGGUGCAAGCGUUAAUCGGAAUUACUGGGCGUAAAGCGCACGCAGGCGGUCUGUCAAGUCGGAUGUGAAAUCCCCGGGCUCAACCUGGGAACUGCAUUCGAAACUGGCAGGCUAGAGUCUUGUAGAGGGGGGUAGAAUUCCAGGUGUAGCGGUGAAAUGCGUAGAGAUCUGGAGGAAUACCGGUGGCGAAGGCGGCCCCCUGGACAAAGACUGACGCUCAGGUGCGAAAGCGUGGGGAGCAAACAGGAUUAGAUACCCUGGUAGUCCACGCCGUAAACGAUGUCGAUUUGGAGGUUGUGCCCUUGAGGCGUGGCUUCCGGAGCUAACGCGUUAAAUCGACCGCCUGGGGAGUACGGCCGCAAGGUUAAAACUCAAAUGAAUUGACGGGGGCCCGCACAAGCGGUGGAGCAUGUGGUUUAAUUCGAUGCAACGCGAAGAACCUUACCUGGUCUUGACAUCCACAGAACUUAGCAGAGAUGCUUUGGUGCCUUCGGGAACUGUGAGACAGGUGCUGCAUGGCUGUCGUCAGCUCGUGUUGUGAA
rnacentral:rRNA from 1 species